rfam:Lactobacillus oligofermentans DSM 15707 = LMG 22743 strain DSM 15707 NODE_75, whole genome shotgun sequence.
AAGAUAAAGCAGAAGCACCCGCUUCUCGCCUUGGUAAUUAGAAUUACCGGGCUUACGAGUUUUAAUAAGCAGCUAAUGGAAAUUAGUUGUGUCGCGGGGUGCAUGUGCACGCCGCUUUUUUGUUUCA